rnacentral:rRNA from 1 species
AAGUUGCAGGGUAUAGACCCGAAACCCGGUGAUCUAGCCAUGGGCAGGUUGAAGGUUGGGUAACACUAACUGGAGGACCGAACCGACUAAUGUUGAAAAAUUAGCGGAUGACCUGUGGCUGGGGGUGAAAGGCCAAUCAAACCGGGAGAUAGCUGGUUCUCCCCGAAAGCUAUUUAGGUAGCGCCUCGUGAAUUCAUCUCCGGGGGUAGAGCACUGUUUCGGCUAGGGGGCCAUCCCGGCUUACCAACCCGAUGCAAACUGCGAAUACCGGAGAAUGUUAUCACGGGAGACACACGGCGGGUGCUAACGUCCGUCGUGAAGAGGGAAACAACCCAGACCGCCAGCUAAGGUCCCAAAGUCAUGGUUAAGUGGGAAACGAUGUGGGAAGGCCCAGACAGCCAGGAUGUUGGCUUAGAAGCAGCCAUCAUUUAAAGAAAGCGUAAUAGCUCACUGGUCGAGUCGGCCUGCGCGGAAGAUGUAACGGGGCUAAACCAUGCACCGAAGCUGCGGCAGCGACACUGUGUGUUGUUGGGUAGGGGAGCGUUCUGUAAGCCUGUGAAGGUGGCCUGUGAGGGUUGCUGGAGGUAUCAGAAGUGCGAAUGCUGACAUAAGUAACGAUAAAGCGGGUGAAAAGCCCGCUCGCCGGAAGACCAAGGGUUCCUGUCCAACGUUAAUCGGGGCAGGGUGAGUCGACCCCUAAGGCGAGGCCGAAAGGCGUAGUCGAUGGGAAACGGGUUAAUAUUCC